GGUGGCUCAGUGGUAGAGCGCUUGUCUUGCAUGCAUGAGGCCUUGGGUUCGAUUCCUCAGCACCA
rfam:Dipodomys ordii contig_71358, whole genome shotgun sequence.